rnacentral:lncRNA from 1 species
GAAUAGAGUGUUUACCUUUCAGAUCUAAUAGUUAAUUAUGCAUAAAAGUUUCAGCAUAAUUGUUUAAACGAUUCCGGCAUAAUCCUAUGUAUUCUUAAGGUGCUGAUUUCUAGAUUUGAUCUUGUAAGCAUGCAUGAAUUAAAUUAUUUGAUUCAUUUUUUUGCUGCAUUUUUAAAACUUAAAAAGAACCACAUGUGGCUUGAUCCCCCUUAUGAAGGGGUACGUAGGCAACCCGAUCAGGUUCAGCCAUGGGUUUCAAAAAAAAAAAUUCAACAUGCUUAAUACCGAAGAACCUAGGAUUCACUUUCAGUGGUAUCAGAGUCAGAGGUCUCGAGUUCGAACCUCAGGCAUCGCGCUGGGAGGGAGGAUUGUUGGCAAAGGCCUGAGGGGCCGAGUCAACGUUGGCGAGGCCUGAAGG